rnacentral:lncRNA from 1 species
UUUAAUUGAAAGAAAAUAACGUUUAUCAAUAAAUCUGCAUGAAAAAAAGAGAUCACAAAAUAAACUGCCUACUUUUAUUUCUUUUGUGAAAUGGAGACCACUUACUACGGUUUUUUGAUGACUUCUCCACUAACUAGAAUGUUUUGUUUCGCAGCCUUGCCGCCCUAUUCUGUUGCUGAUUUCUUGUUGAUGAGUGCAGCUUGGAUCCAGCCAUCCUAUUUCUCUGCUGAUAUCACUCUGCUCCAUCUUAAAGUAUUUGCUGUCUUUAAACACACUUGAAGUAUCUGCUGUGAAGCUGUAAUCAAAAUUUCAAGUUUGAAAGUGUUUCAGAAUCUUUAUUUAGAGAAACUUCCAUAAAAUUAUAUUUCAUUGUGGUUAGAGGUGAUAGUCAAAAGAACAUAAAUAAGAAGUUUCAUGGAUGUCAAAUUAACGUUUCUCAGAGAUCAUUCUGCAUCAAUCCAGUCUGCUGCAUGGAAGAAUCUGAUUACUUUAAUCAACACUUAUGCUACUCAUAUCUUAUCUUUUAGAACCAUUAGGGUCUUCAAAACAGAAAUUAACAUUUUUUAGAUAAUUUUUUAGUGCCAUUUAUCAUGACUAACUCAAUGGGCUAAUUGUCUUAUUAACUUGAUGGAUCCACUGUAGUAAAAUCAUCUGAAUCCUUAUAAACCAACGUUGAUACUUAAACUCAAGUUAUUUAUAGUAGACUCUGAUGUUUAUAAUCCUUAUAAACCGAUACAAGGCAUUUCAAACAUCUGAUGUGUUUGAAAAUGUGACAUUACAAGUGAUAAGAUGUGGGGUUAAUUCUUUGGUGAGGUCUUCCCAAAGUCAUAAAUCUUGAAAUAUAUCAAAUGUAUACCAAGGUUUGACUUACUAGUCCGAGCCGGUUUGUCGACCGAUCGGUGGCACAGCACAUGCUGCCCUGUAGUGGUGCACCAACACAUGAUAUGUAGCGUGAAGGGAAGCAGCAGCACGAUGGCGGUGAAGCGGUGAAGAGGCAGUAUUGCAACGGCGAAGAGGCAACAUCAAGUAAAGCUCCAAAUCAGCCGUAAAAUUCAUGCAUUUCGCUGACACAAGAGGCCGAACCAAAAAUGCUCACCUUUGUUUCUGAGUCGAGCAAGACCGAACGGGGCGAUGGGGUUCAAGGAAGAUGAAGGCACUUUGUCUUCUCGCCCCUCGCCUCUCUGCUCCCUUCUCCUCGCCAACUAGGUCAUCGGCACACCCUUCCCUGUCCACGCUGUCGCAUUCGCUGACGUCUACAGGACCGAGCGAGCCGUGGAAUCUUCUUGGCAGCGAUCGGCAGGAGGGAUACUUCUUUGCGGACGGCUCGCGCGUGGAUCGAAAGGCCGGCACCGGUUCUUAGACUCUGGACAAAAAGCAAGAACUAGUCAACAAAACCGUCGCCGGGCGCGAGAUGGUGGUGAGGUGAAAGAGCAGCCUUUCCUUCAACGAUUACCGGCAGAAGAACUCUGGGUGGACGAUGUACGAAUAUGAGAUGUGUUCUUCCGACUUAUUUGACAUUUGUUUUGAUGGUGGUGCCGUCGGAGAUGGCCUGAUGCAAGAUCUUCAUAGAACUCGUCUCUCGAAACCGGAAGAACACAUCUCAUCUCGUCCAUCGUCCACCUUCUUUCGCCGGCCGUCGUUAAAAGAAAGUCAGCUCUUUCGUCCCACCCACGACCUCGCACCAGCCGACGGUUUUCUCGCCGAUUUCUUGCUUUUUUACAGAGUGGAAGAACCCAUUCGUAACCAUAGGGUUUGAAAAACCUAAGAGGCUCGGUUCUUCCGGGCCGAGAUGGGCUGCCUGGAUGGACUCGACCCAAAGUUCUUGCUUUUUGAACGUGGACUCAACCGUUUUGAUAGAACCGGUUCCGACCUUUCGAUCCAUGCGCGAGCCGUCGCUAUUCUCGGAUCCCUCUUGCCGAUCGCUGCCAAGAAGAUUCCACGGCUCGGUGCCGUAGAUGUUGGCGACGGCGAAAGCGCGGCCAGGGCAGGAGGGAUACUUCUUUGCGGACGGCUCGCGCGUGGAUCGAAAGGCCGGCACCGGUUCUUAGACUCUGGAUAAAAAGCAAGAACUAGUCGGGAGAUGGUGGUGAGGUGAAAGAGCAGCCUUUCCUUCAACGACUACCGACAGAAGAACUCCGGGUGGACGAUGUACGAAUACGAGAUGUGUUCUUCCGGCUUAUUUGACAUUUGUUUUGACGGUGGUCUAUAAGGUGGACUCAAC